AUUCCAAAUCAUAUUUCAAUUAAGUCCAAAUGUUACAAGUUACUCUAAUAGAGCUUAAAUUAAAAUUAUAAAAAGAUCUUGCUGAUAAUCCCAAAAAAGUAGUUACAUAGUUCUCCAAAAAAAAGGAAGUUUCAAAUUAAAUUUACAUAUUAAAAAAAAACUCCAAAUAAUCCAAAUUUACACAAAAAUCCAAAGGAGCAUUCGAUUAAUUUACAGGUUACAAAAAUAAUCUAAAAUUCUGAAAAUAAUUGAAUGGAGUCUAAUGGUUUGAAGUAGUCUUCAGAGACUUUCUCCAAAGCCAAUGGUCCCUUCAUGUAGUGCCCCAACUCAAAAAGCCAGCGCCCCUUUUCAAUCAAUUCAACAUCACUUCACCUGCAAAUGCAAAACCAAAUUCAAAGUUAAAAAAAAACUGCUUAUCAAAAUAAGCACUUAAAACAAACUGGAAAAUAAACCAUAAAAUAAACGGAUUAUUUGGUGACCCAGUAAACCAAGGAGAACACUCAAGAACACUUUGCAAUAUCCACAUCAACAACCUUAAAUCCAUAAGGUAAUUAUCCCACAAAAUCUGGAAAAAGGAUAACUUAACAAGUUAUCUCAGAACCUCAACAUUCAUCACAUAUAUAACAACAACAAAUUAACAGUAAAAGGGGGAACGUUUUGAUAAAAAUCCAGAAGAAAUUUUCAAAGUUUUUUUUCUCUGUUAACUCCAAAGAGACAACACAGUAAGAGAUUUAUCAUCACAUAUAUAACAACAACAAAUUAACAGUAAAAGGGGGAACGUUUUGAUAAAAAUCCAGAAGAAAUUUUCAAAGUUUUUUUUCUCUGUUAACUCCAAAGAGACAACACAGUAAGAGAUUUUCUCAAAAAAAAACCUAGAACACAACAGCAAACACAGAGCAAAAUUUCUAAGGAAAAUCCUAGAAAGUUAACAGCAACAACCGAGCAAUUUUUUUUCAGAACCCAGAAUAUACAGUAACAAUAUAUUUCGAAAAAAAACCUAAAGCUCAUUUUUUUCAUCAACCGCUUAAACUUAUCACCAGAGUUUGAGCAAGGUUAAGCUAUAAGCUGAAUCUAAAGCAAAGGAGGAGUAGGAGGCAACUCUAAAGGAAUUAGAAGAUAAUUACAUUACCUUCGAGUUUGUCGCCGGAACCACGCCAAAAUCUCUCCGUGUAGGUAGUCUUGAGUUUCUUCUUUCCCUUUUAAUUUCGUCUUGAUAUAGAGCUCUUCUCGUUGAUCCUUUUUCCUUUGGUAAUUUCUUGAGACUCCGUAGAUCUUGGGUUUAAUUUCGUUUUGUGCGAAUUGGGUUUUCUGUUUUAGGGUUUCCGAUUUGGGUUUGUGGUUGGGAUUUUGUUGUUUUUGUGGCCGGAUCCGCAACCGCGAGCGUGAAUAAAGGGGAGUUGGUAUUUGAGAUUUAGGUUUUGAGAUGUUUUAGGGUUUCCGAUUUGGGUUUGUGGUUGGGAUUUUGUUGUUUUUGUGGCCGGAUCCGCAACCGCGAGCGUGAAUAAAGGGGAGUUGGUAUUUGAGAUUUAGGUUUUGAGUGGUGGUUCGCCGAAGAAGAAGGUGGCGCCGCCGCCGUUGGCCGGCAACCGCCAUCUUUUCCGGUAGGUUGAAGUCAGAGGUGUUUAGAAGUUUGCAGAGCUUGUGUUUGCUCUGAGAGGAAGAGAGAGAGAGUUGUUUUUUGACAAAUGAAGCGCUUAAGCGCUUUUCUGCUGGCUUUAGGCGAAAAGGGCUCCCUCAUAUGGAGAAACUUGUUUUCCAGCGGUGGGCCUCCAGUCCAGGCCCAAUUGAGCUUUUAUUUAUUUUAGCACCCCAUUUUCGGAUGGGUGACCCCUGUUCAUUUUAUUUUAUUUUUAUUUUAUUUUAUUAUUAUUUGUUGUAUAUUUCGAUUGGUUGGUUCUUUUUAGGCCCAUACUGAUUU
rnacentral:lncRNA from 1 species